AACCGUUCGUACUAACUCUUUUUUCAUAACUGAUUUACUUACGAGGAAAUUCACUUUGAACUGACGAGGCACAAUGAUAGAGACGAGCUCACAAACCCAGCUCCUCCCCGGAGUGUCUCCUUAUUUUCUAAGCUAAGUAGAGCAAGGCUUCACGGGAACUUUUCUUCUUCUCCGUCCUCCUGAAGUGAGAUGCUAGGGGUAGUUUAUACUUCCUUUUUAACUUUUCUAAGUACAUAAUAUUUACUACAUAUCUAGACUAUACGACAUAAUAUAGUCAGUGUCCAAAGAGAUUACUCGUGUUUCUUCCGGAGCUAGGCCAUUUGGCCUAUGGAAAGCCGGGCAGCUUAGCAAUUUUGCCUUUUCAUUGUCCGAUCCAUCAUCUUAGAUGUACUCCCU
rnacentral:lncRNA from 1 species